AAAAUAAAAAUUAAUAAAACAAACGCAGACUUCACUUCUGCACCCACUUCCCACUGCUGCUGUGAUCAGCUCCACAGACCUCGGCGCUGAAGACGACCAGAUCUUCAAACAUGCAGCUCUGUGGGUCCGAAUCAAGGUGCGGCAGGCGGCAUCCUCGGGGCCUCCUGCCGUUCCAGCCCGAGGCCCUGUGCCCCCGCUCCCCGCCAGCAGUGGAGGCAAGGUCCGCCUCUGCCACGUGCAAGCCCCAGAGACAUGCGGCCGCCUGGAUAACUCAACACAGGACUGGCUUCGGCAGCAUGAAAUCCCACCUGCAACCUCACCUCCCGAGAAGCGACGGACUCACAAGGUCAGGAACUGUGACCCAGGCACCUUUAGGACAGCAUUGCCUGCCAGCUGCUCUACUACGUGCCGUCAGCCCCCUGCCCGGUGGGUCCACACCAGUGGACUCGGCCAAGUGUGGAUCAAAAAUACUUGAGAGAGAAGGCGUCUCUACUGAACACGUUCAGACGUCUGUCACCAGCCCCCACACGACACCGUACGUGUGACAGCUGUUGGCAGCGGAUGUGCCUGCCUUGUGUGGAUGUGAAAGCAUGUGCCUUGAGCUGCGAUGGAUUCAGGACAGAAAGUGGCCGUGGAACUCUGUAAUGAGAAAUAGCGUGCUACAUGCCAGGGACUGGCUAUGAGUCUAAUGCAGAGCAUUCUGGCCACAUCAAGGGCCCUGAAGUCUAAGGCUCGGCCCAGGUCCUGCACACAGAUGACCUCAGGCUCAGCACACAGGACAGGCAGUGCCCAGUGCCCGCUCCUGGCCUGGGUCCUCAGUGAGGGGUGCACUGCUCUGCUCCGUCCGCCGGCUCAAUGAGCAAAACAGCAGGUUUACCUGGAACAACUUUGUACAAAGCUGCAGAUAAAUUAAGGGUCAAGACACAGCCGCCCAAGAGACAGGGCCUGGCCUGCUCUGAAAGCCGGAGUCCACAGACGCUUGGAGGACAUUGACAACAAGAUGACAGUGUGAGUCCUGAAGGGGCUGAGUCCAGCCUGAGCAUCUUAGGAGAACGCUGGAGCGUGGUAGCCUCGGUGGGCUGGGCAUCCAUAUGCUGCGGUGAGGAUGGGCCAUCUGCCAGCCCCAGAUCUCAUUUCAGCACAUAAUUGGCUGGAUGCGGACCUGCAGCCACCAGGGGAGAGACAGGGCCCCAGGAGCCCGGCCACCUGCUCACGGCAGGGAAGGGCGCGGAGCGACACAUGCUCAGAGCGACCUUCUAGACACCAGUCUGUACAGGAGCUACCUGGCCCAGGACCACCCUGCUCCCCAGCGUCCUCAGCUACACCCCAACACCCUCAGCUCGCACAGAGACUCCUGGGAUCGCUCCAGUACCUGCAAGCCCGAGUGCUGGCACAAUGGCUCCAUCUCUGCUAACCUCCCUGAGUCACACCCCCAGCCUCCACCUCCAUCUUCCUGGACCCUCUGUUCGGCCACUGCCCCCAAGAGACCAGGUCCCUACAACCCUCGGAACCACAACCCCAGCCAGCACAGGCACCGCACAGGAAGUUCACCUGUCCACUCCUGAGCAGAGCGUGGGACAGGGACACCACAGAGGGACAGGGGAAGGACAGAGGCUGGAACCACAGAACAGCAGUGGACCGUACCUCUGCAGCGGGGUGUGAGGACCCGCAUGAGAACCUGAUCAGACCACAAAGCUGGGGUGUUUGCACAGAGGGAAGGUGGUUCCCGGGAAGACUGACCCAAGCCUCUGGUGUCCCGGCUCUGGGUCACUUCCGAAUCAUUUAUGCGCAGUCCCCCUCUUUGGAGCCGCACAGCCGCUGUGCUGGUCCCCUGGCUUUGCUGCGGUGACGCCUCCGACCCACGGGGUGUGACGACCGCUGCCUGACUACUUCUGGGGACCUGACGGCCACUCUCACUGAAACACUGACUCUUCCCUCGGGCUGCAGAUGUCUGGUGGGUGGCCGGAACUGGGCGCGAGCUUGGCUUCUCUGUCUCCACAGUGUGUCGUCUCUGCUGUCACAACCCUUGGGUCAGAGUCUCAGCUCUGGGUGUGCACAUGGGGGUCAUUUCCAAGCCUCUGUCGUCAAGACCGCUGUGUUCUCAUCAGAGUCGGCUGACCACGGCCACCAGGAGAGGCAGCUUUUGGAGCGAUGUCCCUGGCUGGUGGAAAUGUCCCGGGCUUUCCCCGACCCCAGCAGGCCCUACGCGCUGGGCCCUCUCUGCUCCAGGCAGCCAGCUCCUCUACGGGUGGAUGCCGGCCCAGCCGGCUGGCACCUCCCGCAUGGGAACUCCUGCAUACUGGCUCUGUCCCCUGUCACCCUGUCACAGCCUCCAUGUCCAGAGUGUCUGCGGGCAGUGACAGGCCCAAGGCUGGUCCUCUCGUGAGCAGUGGGGUGGCCCCUCGGCCCCGGCUGUCCUGCUUCCUGCCGUUGGCGUGAGAACCAGAGCAUCCAACACCAGGUGCUCCGGAUUCAGAUCCCGUUCCAGCCCCGCAAAGCAGCUGCACACCGCUCCUGUGAAGGCUGGGUGGCCGUGCGCACUGCUCUCAGGGCUGGUGGCCGGGACUGUGACGAGCACAGGACAGGCACCAAGGGUCUCAGGAGCCUGAGAGACUUCCAAGCCGACCUGGUGCAGCCCGGCCUGCAGGGGGCGCUCUCCGCAUCACCGGAAGAUCACUGACCAUGGCUCCUCCUCUCCGGGGCACUGCCUGGUGUGGCCUCUCUGCCCACUCGCGUUCCCUGGACAGCACCUCAAGCAACUUUCCUCCACCCAUCUUCUGCCCUGCUGUCCUCCUGGUCAGGCUGGCAGCCACACUGGUGCCCAGGUUGGCACCCCUGCUGUCAGCAGGGUCACUCCGGUCCCUGAAUCCCCAGCCUUAGGGGCAACAGCCACAUCUCUGUGAAGAGCUGCCCACCCCAGGAGGGCCAGGGUGGCCCUAUCAGACCCUAGGGCCUCUCCAGAGCCAAAGAGUGAGUAAGAAGCUGCUCCGGGAGAGGAGGAUCACAGUUCUGCCUGGGUUCCAGGGAGGAAGCGCUGAGUGCCUGCUGGGGAGAUGAAGGACUCUUCAAUUCUGGCCUUGGCUGAGCACAGACCAGAAACAGGCCUCCAGGAGGCCCCAGGCCAGGCGGCAUCAAGGUGUUGCCCUGGGGCUUCCUCUGAGCUAUGGUGCCCCUGAAUGCUGGACAGAAGAAAGCCCGGUGGACUCCGUGGAGGAGGCCCAGGGAGGAGGCUGGCGCAGUCUCUGUCCCCGGCCUCUGGAGAUGUGCGGAGGCAGCUCACUUGGAGCAUUUGUCACGGGCUCUUUCUCUGUGGCCACCGAGGGGUCAUCAGUCAGUUUAACUGGACGCCUGCAUGCCUCCAAACUCAAGCUCAGCAGCAUUUCAUUACUGUACUGCGGGGUAGACCACUUUCCUCGGUGCUGCGGGUUUAUUUCCACCUAAAUUAUUAAGCAGCCUGUUUAAUAAUGCAAGCGCAUUGUAGAUGGGCGAGCAGAUGCCGCGCUUCAGAGCACAUUGUUCCCGACAGCAGCAGGAAAGGCGGCCUCUUCCCCCGGUCUGCCCCACUCGCCCGUCUGCUAAUCGGGGUGCGGGAGGUUUUCCUUGGUGAAUAAACGCGGCUCCACUCCCCUGUGUGCACCGAGACAGGCGACCCUGCUCCGCCUUCCUCCCAAACAACACCUGCUUCCCUCUGAUGUGCGUUGGACACAGUCUCUGGGCUGAGGGCCACCGUGUGGGCAACUUUCAGACAGAGGCGCAGAAGGGCUUCCCUCCUGCCCAAGGUGUGAGGGCGCAGAGCGGGACCAGCAGCUCAGGCGCUCCACAAAGGCUGUGUCCGGGGCUGAUUCUCAUUUCACUUCGCCCUCCACACUCCGUCUUCACGCUCCAGGGCCCAGCGAGGCUGAGCUGCUCUGAAGGUCGCGGAGAGGUGGUGGAGACGCUGGCCGCUUUGCAUGUGGAUCAGGGCUCCAUGCCAGCUCCACACCAGUGAAUCACAGACCACCGCGAGCGCAGCCACAAGCGCGUGGACAAAGCAAGACCCUGGCCUUCCCUCCCCAGCCCAACCACCAUGUCCCACCCUGCCACCAGGAGGCUGGGGACUGCGCAGCACCCUGCCCCUCCGCUCCAAGGAGGGACUGUGGCUGGGACCAUGGCUGGGGCCUCACAGCCCUGGGCGGGUUUCCCAGCAUCAGCACCUUUAAACUCUAACAGACCCUGGGAGAAGCGGAAGGAUCAGCGGCUGUGAGAAACCUGCAGGACGUCCGAUCCACUGGGUCCGGAGGCUCCUGGGAGGAUGGAGGGCGCCAGCGGGCACCGGCGGCCAUGGCCAGCCCUGCUCCAGAAACCCCUCUGGGCUUGGCUGUGGCUCUGGGAGAAGCACGGACCUGAGCUCCUUCCCGCUCGACAGGGCUUUUUGGCCUCUCCCACUGUUCAGGUCUUGUGACAGUGUUCUGGUCUUUGGACCUCAGAGACUCACUGCUUCCCCAAAUGAUGGUCACGGCCAGCAGCUGCAGGCAGGGCAGGACCCCCAGCUGCCCCCUCCCCUCCUCCAGCCAACAGGACAGAACUUGCCCUGUUGUGUGUGUGCUGUCCUGGAGAAGCGGUCCGUGGGAGCAGGUGACUGUCCCUGCCCUGCCCUGCGGCUUUGCUCCUGGACUGGGGGUAGGGGUCAGAAGGCCAGGCCUGGGAAUGUCAAGGUUCAGGGUAGGAAAAGGGCACGGAUGAGGGGAGCCAGGGUGGAAUGGAGGGGCUCUUUUUGCUGCUGAUUUAACUCACCAGCUACUUACAAUGCAGUCCUGUGUGCCAGAAAGGGGCCCAGGUCCUGGGACAAGCAGGAAGCCCUAGAUGUGAGGGACCCUCAGCCUGACGGGGGCGCAUGUCCCCCACCAGAUUAGGAGAAAAGACAGCUGCACCCAGCCAAAAUUUCUCAUUCUGUCAAAGCAGCGCACAUGAGAAGGAUCCACCAGUCCCUCCAUCCCUACCACUGGUGCUGAGGACUUGGCCCAGGUCACUCACUCCUGUCCACCCACAGGUCCUCCUGCUACAGUUGCCCCAAUCAGCAGGGCCUGGCUCAGAGGAGGCACUGGGCAUGUUGGUGAAUAGAGGUGUGUGACAUCCCUCUCACGGGCCCCAUAGACAACUGCCACAGACUCAGCCUGGAGCCAACAUCCCACGGACACCCAAUAGGACUGCCCAGCAGUCAGCCCCCACCCUGCUGUCCCCAGGAAAGCCAUCCCUCACUUGUGGCCAGAAUACCCCACGUGGAAUACCCAAAGCCUGCAUGGCAAGGCCACUACUGGGUGCUAGAGGGACCUGCAGGAGGCUGGGCUGAGUGAGGAGAGAGAGGCUGGCUCUGAGGGAGGAGGAGGCGGGCAGUGCUGACUAUGACUGCUCUACAUGGCUCGGAGGAACACCCAGCUGACAGCCGAGGUGCCUCCGGGAGCCUUGCUGGGGCUUAGAGUGCCACACCCAGGGUCAGGGAGGGCUGCCAUUCUGUAGGCCACCCAUUUGUGGAGAUGGCCAGAGGUUAGCUCCAAGGGCGGAGGAGGCACAUACACACAGCAAGAAAAUGCUAGUGAUGACCGCAUGGCAGAGUCGGCGAAGAAGGGGAAGCCACUGCAUGCCGAGGGCCUUCACAGGAGAGAGCCACGCCCGGCCUCGAGGCAAAGCUGGCAGCGGGAGGCAGGGCCACAGGGAACACAGGGAGACAAGGAGGCGGCCAGGCAGAGCCCAGGCCUAGCAAGGGUGGUGGGGUGGGGAGGGCUCAGCAUAGGAGGGGACAGGGCCGGGCAUGCUCUGUCCGAGGUCUGACCCACGAAGUGCCCUGCUGAGCCCCAGCGAGGGAGGGAGAGGGCCAGAAGCUCACAGGUGGUGCCCCGGGUAGAAAGGUGCCAAGAAGACCAGAAGAGGAUGCGGCUGUGGCUGCUGGGCAGAAAUGAGAAACGCAAGCUUUGUUUCACGGGGUGGCCUAGAGGCGGUCCAGGAGCCCCUGAGACCCCACGCUCACUAUGCCCUGACUUUGAUGACGGGGAGACAGCGCAGAUACCGUGACCUGCCACCUCCCUGUGAGGCUAGAGGGCAGCUGGGUGGAGGGUGGAGAGUGGCAGGGACCGUGAGGGGGUGUGGCACCCCACCCAGAGGUGCGCAGGUGGUGGACUCAGUUCUGCAGUCGCGACGCAGACUGUGCUUCCUCGUCCGCAGGAAGGGAGAGCUACCCGGGCGCCCGGAGCGCCCAGGCCUGAGGCCCAGCAGUGUCCCAUCGGGGGGAGACAGGAGGCUGCUCUGGUUCCCGCACUGGUGGCCGGCUUCCCCGCAAUGCCUGUGGGUGGGGUCUGCGGAGCCCCGGGUCUGGGGUCUGGGGUCUGGGUGAAUGAGCGGACGAGCGCUCUCUUUCCCUUCUCUGACAGGGUCUGUAGAAAUUUGGCAUGCUUCCUCUUCAAACCCCGGAAAGCGCUCAGGGGGAACCAUCCGUACCUGGUUUGUUCAUUUUCUGGGGCUAUGCUGUCUUGGUUAAUUGUGAAUCCAAGUUCUUGAUUUUCUCAUGUCAGUUUGGAAAAUGUGGUUUUUUAAAGAAUAACUCAUCAAGGGCUGGGGAUUUAGCUC